rnacentral:rRNA from 1 species
GUGGGGAAUCUUGCGCAAUGGGCGAAAGCCUGACGCAGCCAUGUCGCGUGAAUGAUGAAGGUCUUAGGAUUGUAAAAUUCUUUCACCGGGGACGAUAAUGACGGUACCCGGAGAAGAAGCCCCGGCUAACUUCGUGCCAGCAGCCGCGGUAAUACGAAGGGGGCUAGCGUUGCUCGGAAUUACUGGGCGUAAAGGGCGCGUAGGCGGACAGUUUAGUCAGAGGUGAAAGCCCAGGGCUCAACCUUGGAAUUGCCUUUGAUACUGGCUGUCUUGAGUACGGGAGAGGUGAGUGGAACUCCGAGUGUAGAGGUGAAAUUCGUAGAUAUUCGGAAGAACACCAGUGGCGAAGGCGACUCACUGGCCCGUUACUGACGCUGAGGCGCGAAAGCGUGGGGAGCAAACAGGAUUAGAAACCCGGGUAGUCC